AUAAUUGUCAGCUAAGUGGCGCACGGGUGAGUAAUGUAUAGAUAACCUGCCCUUAAGAAAGGAAUAACAGUUGGAAACGACUGCUAAUGCCCUAUAUGCCUUUAAUACAUAAGUAUGCAAGGGAAACGCUUUAGUGCUUAAGGAUGGGUCUGUAUGGUAUCAGCUUGUUGGUGAGGUAAUGGCUCACCAAGGCUAUGACGCCUAACUGGUUUGAGAGGAUGAUCAGUCACACUGGAACUGAGACACGGUCCAGACUCCUACGGGAGGCAGCAGUGGGGAAUAUUGCACAAUGGACGAAAGUCUGAUGCAGCAACGCCGCGUGGAGGAUGACACAUUUCGGUGCGUAAACUCCUUUUAUAUAGGAAGAUAAUGACGGUACUAUAUGAAUAAGCACCGGCUAACUCCGUGCCAGCAGCCGCGGUAAUACGGAGGGUGCAAGCGUUACUCGGAAUCACUGGGCGUAAAGAGCGUGUAGGCGGGUAUACAAGUCAGAAGUGAAAUCCAAUAGCUCAACUAUUGAACUGCUUUUGAAACUGUAUACCUAGAAUGUGGGAGAGGUAGAUGGAAUUUCUGGUGUAGGGGUAAAAUCCGUAGAGAUCAGAAGGAAUACCGAUUGCGAAGGCGAUCUACUGGAACAUUAUUGACGCUGAGACGCGAAAGCGUGGGGAGCAAACAGGAUUAGAUACCCUGGUAGUCCACGCCCUAAACGAUGUACACUAGUUGUUGUGAGGCUCGACCUUGCAGUAAUGCAGUUAACACAUUAAGUGUACCGCCUGGGGAGUACGGUCGCAAGAUUAAAA
rnacentral:rRNA from 1 species